rnacentral:rRNA from 1 species
UACGUAGGGUGCGUGCGUUAAUCGGAAUUACUGGGCGUAAAGCGUGCGCAGGCGGUUCGUUAAGUCAGCUGUGAAAGCCCCGGGCUCAACCUGGGAAUUGCGGUUGAAACUGGCGAACUAGAAUCUGGCAGAGGGGGGUGGAAUUCCACGUGUAGCAGUGAAAUGCGUAGAGAUGUGGAGGAACACCGAUGGCGAAGGCAGCCCCCUGGGCUGAGAUUGACGCUCAGGCACGAAAGCGUGGGGAGCAAACAGG